rnacentral:ribozyme from 1 species
AAAAAAAAAAAAAAAAAACUGCUGCACGGGUUCUCGAUCGCGUCUUGCUUCUUAUUGCUUCAUUUCAUUUUUCCAGCUGCUUUCUCUCCUCUUCUUUCUGCUGUCUCUUUAGUGUGC